rfam:Enterococcus sp. 8G7_MSG3316 scaffold00001, whole genome shotgun sequence.
UUUUCACAUUUGAGAAGGAAUAGUAGAAAAGCGUUGGGGCUUCAGAGAGUGCAUGGUUGGUGAGAAUGCACAGCACACCUUUCGAACUCACCUUCAAGUGAUAUCUGACUGAACAAUGACUAGGCAGAUACGGCGAUGGCCGUUACAACAUCGAGGUCUGUUUCUUUAGGGAGCAGAUGAAUUUAGGUGGUACCACGUUGAUAACGUCCUAUGA